rnacentral:rRNA from 1 species
UACGGAGGGGGCCAGCGUUGUUCGGAAUCAUUGGGCGUAAAGCGCGCGUAGGCGGCCGAGCAAGUCGGACGUGAAAUACCUCGGCUCAACCGGGGAAUGGCAUCCGAAACUGCACGGCUUGAGUCCUGGAGAGGGUAGUGGAAUUCCCAGUGUAGCGGUGAAAUGCGUAGAUACUGGGAGGAACACCGGUGGCGAAGGCGGCUACCUGGAAAGGUACUGACGCUGAGGCGCGAAAGCUAGGGGAGCAAACAGG